CUUAUUUCUUUCCUUUAAAAUCAUGAACAGGAAUGUACAUCUCCGCCCAAAAAUGGAGUCCGAACAUAAUGGAACGCAACAUUUGCUCAGAUGUGGAGUGACAUAUUUUUCAAAGUUGUUUCCGAUAACCAUUGCCAACAGAAGAGUGGAUUUCAUUUUCAAAUCAUUUCUUGAAAGAGGAGAAAAAUGAAACGCAUUGAAGUCUCCUUGAAAAACAAUCUUCAUCUUAGGCACUAGGUAUGUUUCUUUACAGAACAAAAACAAAAGUGAAAUUAAAGUGAAUAAUGACAGUUAUUAUUAACUCACAAGUGUAAUGCUUUUGAGUUUACAAAGCACUUUCCUCACAACAACCCUGUGAGGUAGGUAGUGUCAGCAUUAUCAUCCUCAUUUAUAAAUGAGAAAACCAAGGCUUAGAAUGGACACACAAUUAGUAAGUAAUUACUAGAGCUAAGAUUUGAAUCCUAGCCAGCUGACUCUAAAGCCAAUCCUCUUUCCCUUAUUCAUUCCACUGUUCACCAGAUGGAAAUAUAUAGAUCUACCUACUCCCUAAUCUAUUUUACUGGGUGUGGUUUACAUUCAUCAUUAAAAGAUAGAAAUCAAAUGCAUUGGUGUUUAGUGGAAGUAUCAUGAUGGACUAUCCUUGAUUUUAAUACUGUUAAUCUUAUAUUUGAACAUGUGGGGAAGGUCCAAUAAUUUUUUUCUAAAUUAAAAUCCACAUAUGUCAAAACCAUGGUAUUAACUUAUCUAAGUUACCUUCUUUCAGAGAUGUUUAUAUUAUUUAAUCAGUUACAGUUCAAAUGAAUAUGUGUGUGUGUGUGUGUGUUUGUGUGUGUGUGUGUGUGUGCAUGUGUAUACUUGUCAAACCAUUUAUUUUUCAGGAGAAUUGGCUGAAACAUCCUGUGCAUAAGUAAGACUCAAGUGUUGACUUCUGUUUUUUUUUUUUUUUUUUUUUAAUCUUCUUUCAUGCAUUUGCUGGGUAACAGCACUUAACCCUCAAUGUCUUAGCAGACAUGAAAUAUCUUCAGUGAUGAGUAUGGGAAAAAAUAUAAAUAUGCAAAACAAGUUUAGAACAUUGGAUUUUAACAUAUAACAUGAGGAUAAUACAUUUGGGCUUAUUUAAGAAAGACAAUGCUAACCUACAUGAGCAAGUCCUAGAGAACUGUUGUCAAGUGAGAGUGUCAUUGAGUGAUGUUGAGUAGCAAUGGUCCCUUUGGUUAAAUAGCAAUUUCCAUUAAAUUAAAAGGAAUGUCAAAGAUCAGUAUUUUUCCUUAUUUGAUUUUCCCCCAGAUAACUUUAACUUUUUUUUCUAAAAAAUUGCAAACAUACAUUUGUUUUUAUCAGUUGAUUUGUAAACAUCAGUUUUCAUAUCCAUUUACGUCAAAAUACUUUAAUAUUUUCCUUGUUUCAAGGGAUAAUGAAGGAAAUAAUGUUUGUUGACCUGCAUAAGGUCAUGGGUAUUGUAAAUGGGUAAUACUGGUACAUUAUGAUCCUUAAGAAGAUCAGUCUGUCAUAUUUUUUUUUAAUUCUUGCUUCUAGAAUUAAAACGGUUUACAAACUGUCAAAAAUUAAAUAAUGCUUUAUGACCCUUAAUCCAGGCCAUGAUCAGAGAGGGGGAAAUAUGUUUGUUCAUUCAUACAAGUCUUACAUUUGCAAUUCUUUUUAAUGUAAACAUACACAUGUAUACAAUGCACACAAGAAAAAAAAAACAUAUUCAUAUGUUGAUCCAUUUAAGAGAGGUUACAUUUAAAUUUACAUUUUAUUGACUGGAAUAUUGUUGAAUUGUUGUCCUAGGAUAUAUUCUUAUUUGCCAGCCCCCCGCCCCCAAUGGGGUUCUUACUAGUCAACAUAUUAUUAACAAAAGCAAAAUAUUGUUUAACAAAUGAUAUAUUAUGAUGAUGCUUUGCCUGUAAUGUCAAGAUAUCUAGAGGAAGUUUUCUGCGAAAGAUAAAUGGGAAGACAUGGGCAAGAAUUACAUAGGACGAUUAGGUAUGGAAGAUUUGCAAUCUGCAUCAUUGGAGGAAGUGCCUAAUCAAUGAAUUUACAAUUCUGUUAAAUAAGAAACAAUUUUACCCAGAGAUAGAUUGGGUUUUCUUAUUGUAUUAUUUCCAAUGGUUUUUAAGGAUUUCAUUAUUUCAGAGUUGUUCAAUUUUGACUAGAUAGAAGAAUAUGGUAGAGUAUACAAUGUAAAACAUAAAAGGAAAAAAACACAAAUAUUAAUGCUCUGUUUUGCUCUUUGUGUUUAGUUUACUUCUGUUAAUGGCCUUUGAGAGACAAUGGUGUCUCUUUAAGGACAUGUCUUCUGAUGGUAAAUGUACAUAAUCUUAUAAGUAUAUUUAACAGAUAGAAAUACUUUCCUUAAUAUGGGUAUAAUAUUAUAUUUUGGUGCUCCAUACAAGUUACUUUAUGUAGGAAGCUAUGCAUUUGGGCUUUUAAAUUGGAAAACAGGUAAUUUAAAUUUGAGAUUGAGUGCCUAAAGUAUCCAACAGAGGAUAUCUUUUGUUUGAUCUAUAACAGCUAUCUUCCUUUUAUUGGAAAAAAAAAUGCUAAUUGUUGUAUGAAAAACAAGCAGAAAAAUAUUUCAAAUGCCAUAAUAAACAAAUUUUCUAGCUUCAGAUUGGUCAUUAUAGUGAAAAUCUUGAAGUGAGGCUAAUGAACUUUUCAAAGAAAAUUUGAUUUUAAAUGAUGCCCUCUCUCCUGUUAGCCACUAAUCUAUGUGACCUUUCUCUCAUUUUUCUCUGUCUCAGUCCUAUAAAAGAAUCAAAGUGAAGAUAUGUUAGAAAUUUAGGGGAUGGGGAAUUGAAGGGAAAGAAGUGAGGUUUAGUAUAGGUCUGAAAUAGAACCAUAUAAUUUUAGAGUUGGAAAAGAAAUUAGAGGUCAUCUAGAUUAGGCCCCCUCAUUUAUCAGAUAAGAACUUGGUCUCUGAAAAUAAGUGGGACAUUAUUUUGUUGGUAAUGAGUUUCAUUAUGAUAGUUUUCUAAUAUUUUCCAAACAAAUAGUAACACUGAUUGCUUGCUAUCACACAAUUAAUUCUUUCAUAGGCAACAAUACACAUGCAAUCAAUACAGUAAUUUAUGACGAGUUACCAAAUGGACUAGAAGCAGGACCUCCAUUUUGCCAAGGAUGUGUCUGAUCAGAUCUCCAAGUAUUUCCAAAAGUAUUAGCCAAGAUUGGCACUAACUCAGAAUUUUCCCCAUUUUGUCCCCAUUCUACCAGGUAGCCAGUUCAACAAGCUGGGGAACAGAAUUCAAAGGUGACUUUCUAGACACCUUUUAAAUACAUUAUGGUUAAGAGUGUAAAAAUAUAUAUAUAUAUAUAUAUUUGAGACCAUUAUACACUUUAGGGACAGCAAUCAUACACACAAAAUUUUACAUCUUAGUUCCUAAGAGGAAAUCUAACAGGGAUUUUACCCCAGGGUUAUCCCAAGCUUUCUACCAACUGUUAGCUCUGCUUGUCCAAGAAAGAAGAGGAUCAAAAAUGUGGGAAUAAUUUCAACCAUUUCCAAGUGGUCACGCCUCUCAUUUAAUAUGAAAUCAUUGGUAUUCCAUGUCACUUUGUCACUGUUUGUGGUUUAGCAGGGGAAAAGACCUGAAAAUUGAAGCUUGUUUAAACAAACAAAAUACACAAGACAAAUGCCCAAACACUUUGAAACUAGAUUAAACAGCAUUGUUUGGGAGAGAAAUGGAAACAGGAGCAAAAAAUAACAUCCCCUCCCCCAUGGUUGAGAAUACAAUAUUUGAAAUGUUGGAAACCCUUGAACAAUUAGGACAAAUUGGGCUAGGAAUGUACUAACAAUUAGAAGAAGACUCCAGAAAGUCAGAUAAAAACAGUGUUUAAUUUGGGUUCUUAAAUCUAGAGUACUCUCUACCCUCACUGUUUCUUUAAAAGGGAAAGUAAGAAGUAAAGAGGAAGAGAUAAAGCUUAUUCAAAGGCCUAUGACCUCCUGCAUAUUGAUAUGCAUUAAAUAAUGGGGACAGCACAGAUGCCUGUGGCUCUCUAUUAAAUGAAGGUUGUAUUUCUUAUGACUACAGUACAAACACAGUUGACAUGCCAUAGUUGUAUACCAUAUACUGAAUUUACACAAUUGAAUAGUAAUACAAAAGUGUUCAUUAUAUAUAAAAUAUAGGUUUCCCAUAUCCAAAAGAACAAACAAAAAACCCCUAUUUCUUAUAUUUAGGAUAGAUUUAGUUGGAAAACUUAUUUAACAACAGUUGUUCUGGGGCAAUAUUUCCUUGUCUUUAGGGCUUGACUAGAAGGGAACCACCAUUGUUGACAAUUGUGAAAGACACAUGAUACUAACAGUUCUGCCAUCUUAAUCACUAGCUUUUCAAAAGCUAGACUUGACUGGUAACUAAAACUGAAAUGAAUGAUGUUUACAACAUUCAAAUAACAAGAAGAGAAGGAAGGUUUUGGUUUUCUUUCUUCCUCCUUGUUUUCUAAUUCAAUCUAUUUUACAUAUACCAGGUUCAUUUGGUCCAACUUUUCCAAGGUUUGUCCAGAUACAGUGAGAUCAGUCUGAAUCAUCUGAAUCCUUAAAUGGCCAUUGCUAUACAAUGUGGAUUUUUGCUGAGUGAGUUGGACACUAAAUUUUUUUCUCUCUUUUUUAAGUUGAUUUUAUAAUUAUUAAGCACAAAAUUCAUAGUCUCAAAAAACUGAUUUUAUUCAGUUCACAUCUUCCUUUUGUCACUUAAGAUAAUGAAAACAUACUAAAUAUAUCAUUAAUUUGCAAAUGCCAAGUUAUUAAUUCAAAGCUAGGUGAGAUGACCACCCGUGGAGACAUACUGUAACUCACCAUACCUCCCUUCCCCAAGAAAAUGCAAGUUCUGCUUGUUAAUCUUCCAUUCCCGGUUCUUCCUCCAGAGGACCCUCCAUCUCCCAUUCAUCAAUGGCAUUAACAUUUUUUCAGCAAUUCCUGGCAAAUCCCUAGCAAUCCCUCUGUUUUUAGUGAAGGGACAGAAAGAAGUGCCUUAGUAUAAUGCAACAAACAGGCAAACUUCAUUUUGAAAUGGAGAAUGAUUAACAAAUUCAAUUAAACUGAGGCCUCUUGUUCACAUAAUAAAGAAGGGGGGAGAAGACAUUUCAAAAAAAGCAAAAGUGUCAUUAAAUCACAAAGAUUUGCCUAAAGGCAAAGGAGCUUUAAGGACAAGGUACUGACAAGCUCCAGGUAUUUGCUGUUUGAGAUGACUUUUAAAGUGUUUUUAUGGUAGAACUUUUAAAAUUCAUACAUAUGGAUACAUAUUUUCUGCUUGUACAUUUUUGGUAUGGGAUAUUUCCCAAAAUAGGCAGAGUGAGCUAUUAAAAUUUUUAUUAUUAUUAAAAUAGACACAUUGCUAGACAAAUUUUGUUUAAAAUUAAUUGAUAAUUAUUCAGAUAAUGACUCCAGAUUAAUAACUCCAUUAUGUCCACUUCUGUGAUGUCACAAUUUCUAUGGAAGCAUAUUGUGUGAUUAAUAGCACAAAUACAAUUUGAUGCCUAUAUGGGAUUUCAUUUGAUAAUUUAAUGAGUAUGGGGUUGUUUUAACUUAUUCACUGAGAGAAGUUUAAAAGAGAUAAAUUUGAAAAACUAUAACCAACCUUGGUUAUAAUUGGCUAGCUUCAGUCUUUUUGAGACAGCUAAGAUAUUAAAUUAAAUUAUUAUGCAUCACACAACUUCUCCCAGUUAGCUGAGCACUUUACAGAUGUAGUUGAGGAAUAGAUCCCAUUAUAGUGGACACAUCUAUGGAUAAUUUGCUCUCACAUACUCACUUGUACUGCCUACAUGGGGACACAUUAGCAAAAUCCUAACUUCCAUUCAACAGAAGUCCCAUGGGGAAUGGGACACACCACUUAGAAGUUUACGUUUCUAAAACUUAAGUAUGGAAUUUUAAAAGGGACAUACAUCUCUGUUAAAUUAUCACCAUUAAUGCUUCUGUGUUCAAUCAAGUUAACUUAUAAAGGCAGUUCAUAUGAGCUCUAUUGAAUACAAAGUAGCACCUUCACCUCAUUCAGAUGCCUUAUUACAAUCCAGUGAAACAUUAAGAAUUUGUUGCUUUUCUACUCUAUUUGAAUUAAGCUAAUCUUACUUUUGAAACACCUUGCU
rnacentral:lncRNA from 1 species